AAGUCGUAACAAGGUUUCCGUAGGUGAACCUGCGGAAGGAUCAUUAUUGAAAUUACCGGUGAGGGUUGUAGCUGGCCUUUCGGGGCAUGUGCACGCCUGAGCCUUUAAUCCAACAUACACCUGUGAACCCAAUGUAAGGGCCCGUAAAAAGGGCCCCUACGUCUUUAUCACCAACUCUGUAUUCUUUGAAUGUAAUCCAUGUCUUCGCCUUAACAAGCGUCGAUAAACUUAUACAACUUUCAACAACGGAUCUCUUGGCUCUC
rnacentral:misc_RNA from 1 species